rnacentral:rRNA from 1 species
GAUGAACGCUGGCGGCGUGCUUAACACAUGCAAGUCGAACGAGAAGUGAAGACGGAAACCUUCGGGCGGAAGGCCUUAUUUCGAGUGGCGGACGGGUGAGUAACGCGUGGGUAACCUGCCUCAUACAGGGGGAUAACAGUUGGAAACGACUGUUAAUACCGCAUAAGACCACAGCACCGCAUGGUGCGGGGGUAAAAACUCCGGUGGUAUGAGAUGGACCCGCGUUCGAUUAGCCAGUUGGCGGGGUAACGGCCCACCAAAGCGACGAUCGAUAGCCGAUCUGAGAGGAUGACCGGCCACAUUGGGACUGAGACACGGCCCAAACUCCUACGGGAGGCAGCAGUGGGGAAUAUUGCACAAUGGGGGAAACCCUGAUGCAGCGACGCCGCGUGAGUGAAGAAGUAUUUCGGUAUGUAAAGCUCUAUCAGCAGGGAAGAAAAUGACGGUACCUGAGUAAGAAGCCCCGGCUAACUACGUG